AGGGGCGUAGCCCUCAACUGGUAGAGCACCGGUCUCCAAAACCGAAGGUUGCAGGUUCGAGUCCUGCCGCCCCUG
rnacentral:tRNA from 1 species